rnacentral:misc_RNA from 1 species
CACCACAGCUGCAUACCACACAUAAUUCAUCGCGAUAUGAAGUCCAGUAAUGUACUUUUAGACGAAAACUUUGAGGCGCGAGUUUCUGAUUUUGGAAUGGCAAGGCUGGUAAAUGCUCUGGAUACUCAUUUAAGUGUGAGUACACUUGCUGGUACUCCAGGUUAUGUUCCUCCAGAGUACUACCAAAGUUUCAGGUGCACCGCAAAAGGGGACGUGUACAG